rnacentral:rRNA from 1 species
UACGUAGGGUGCAAGCGUUAAUCGGAAUUACUGGGCGUAAAGCGUGCGCAGGCGGUUAUGUAAGACAGUUGUGAAAUCCCCGGGCUCAACCUGGGAACUGCAUUUGUGACUGUAGAGCUGGAGUGCGGCAGAGGGGGAUGGAAUUCCGCGUGUAGCAGUGAAAUGCGUAGAUAUGCGGAGGAACACCGAUGGCGAAGGCAAUCCCCUGGGCCUGCACUGACGCUCAUGCACGAAAGCGGUGGGAGAAACAGG